UUAAUUGAAACCAAAUAGAGGUAAAUCACUGUUAAUGAUUUUAUUGAAUUAAUGAUUCCAAUUAAA
rnacentral:tRNA from 1 species